UCCAGAAUGACACGUGGGAAACUUUACGACUCCCCCAAACCCGAAGUGGGAGCUGGGUUCUCCUCCUACUGGCCGAUGGGGAGGCCUCUGGUCUUCAGCACCCCCUGGAUCAGCUGAGGCAUUGAAAGUAUUAGAACCUCCCCAGGCUCAGCACUCCCAGCCCUGAGCUGAGAGUUGGUGAUGCUACCAGCCCUUGGGGAAGGAAAUGCUGGCUUCUGAAUUGGGGGCUCAGCAAGGGAAGACGAGAGAGCAGAUGCCAGCCGCAGACAAGCAUUUCCCGAAGAGAGGAAAAUAUUUCCGAAGGAAAUCGGCAUCAUAGCAGAGCAGUGCCUCCACAGCGUUGCUUCGGAAAUGUGCCCAAAUGUGGUGACAUUUUCUUGCAGGCGUAAUUUUGGAAGGCAGGUGUCAGUUAACACCACAUGGACAACAGCGUCGGGAAGAAUUGUUUUGCAAUUUGAUGAAUAUAUGACUGUUCUUUAAAUAUGAUGAGGCGAUUUGUGACUAAGUGUGUGUGUGUGGGGGGGCGGUGCUGAGCUACUAAUUGCCACAUGAAUAAUUAACGCAAAUAAAGACGGAGAAUAUGGCUGUAAGGAGCAAAACUCCACAAUCUGGGCAGCUCAAGUUCAACAGCAGUGCACACACUGUUGGGUAAAGUCACACAUUUACAUGCACACGGGGACAGCUUCACACACAGCAUGCAUAUACCCACAUGCACACAUUCACGUAUUAUAUGGGGACACUCACAGGCCCACCCUGAUGCUUCCCAAAGAUGUGCGCUUUUGUGCACCUCAUGGCCACGUGCACACCUUCAUGAACACGCUCACCGUCCACAUUCAUGCUAUAGACUUGUGUAAACACAUCGUCAGGAACCAGCAUACACGGGGUUCUUGUCUCUUUCCCUAGAAAUCACUCUGCAAAUGCAUAGGUGGACACAAAUAGCCCCACAGGAUAGGAGAACAUGCUGUUCUCCACCAGGAAAUAUUGGGAAGCACAUUGCAGGAGGGGAAGGUCCCUUUAGUCACAUUACUGUAAUAAUAGAUGCCACGGGAAUGAAAGAAGACGCAGAGGGCAGAGGAUCCACAGGACACAAAAAGAUCUUUGUUAGUACAAGCCAGACCAGAUCUGAAUACCUUCUCUGAAAAAAAAAAUAAUAAUAAUGGCAGGACUCUCCAAAGGGGCCCAAUGCCCAGAUGGGGACAGAGCUGCAGAUGCGGUAGCAGGAGCCUGAGGAAGAUGAUGAUGACCAGGUCUGGACCUGCUGUCCGCAGGGCUCCACCCCAAAGCCGGAGCACAGGCAGAGAACUAGAGAACUCUCCCCUAACUCCGAUUUGGUGUUCAGCAAACAAAUGACUCUUCAUUCUUAGGAACAUACGAAUGAUGUUUGGGUCAGAGUAUGGCCAAUGGCACCAGAACACGGGUGUAUUUAUGGGACACCCCAGACUGCAGCGUGAUUAUCGUCAUCUAAGCUAGUGGCAGCCUCCCACAGACAACUCCCAUCCAUCGUGGGGGUCGGUGCUAAUGUCUCCUUGCUGCUUACAGAGGUUUGGCAAGCCUACGGAGAAGAUACGGGUACAGACGACACAGAUUCUAACAUGUGAGUAUUAGAGCAACUUGAACUUCAUUUACCUUUGACAUUAUUCAUUAAUAUUAAAAUGUGACUUGGACAGUAUCCAUAUUUAAAAGGUCACUUAGGAUGAAGUCUACAUGUCCUCCCCAUUAAUAAUCACAGGAAUAUCGCCCCCGUGGUCACCUCCCCCAUUGCAGAAGGAGGCAAUGCCUUCGUUCCUAAAUCAAAUAUUUUUAAAAGGAAAUGUCCACUACAACCUCCUUCUGUUUCUAUAGUUCCAACUCUGGAGAUGUACAUCUCUUAAAUGCAACAGUGACAAAGUAAUAUUCAGAGACUACAAAAAGUGAAGGACAAAAGGAAACUUUUAAUAAAGAAAAAAGAGGAGGUACCAGCAGAUUUGACUGCACCCAGCCCUGUGGCUGCAGCCAAGUCCCUCUUCCAACAUCUCCCAGAGACAUGGUAAGUGGACGAGUACUUCUCUUAUAGGUGAAGUUCAAAUGCAGGACUCACUGGGGACCUGUGGCUUCAAUGACAUUUGACACGCUCAUUUCUGAA